UGGGGAAUAUUGCACAAUGGGGGAAACCCUGAUGCAGCGACGCCGCGUGAACGAAGAAGGUAUUCGUAUCGUAAAGUUCUGUCCUAUGGGAAGAUAAUGACAGUACCAUAGAAGAAAGCUCCGGCUAAAUACGUGCCAGCAGCCGCGGUAAUACGUAUGGAGCGAGCGUUGUCCGGAAUUAUUGGGCGUAAAGGGUACGCAGGCGGUUUAAUAAGUCGAAUGUUAAAGAUCGGGGCUCAACCCCGUAAAGCAUUGGAAACUGAUAAACUUGAGUAGUGGAGAGGAAAGUAGAAUUCCUGGUGUAGUGGUGAAAUACGUAGAUAUUAGGAGGAAUACCAGUAGCGAAGGCGACUUUCUGGACACAAACUGACGCUGAGUUACGAAAGCGUGGGGGGCAAACAGG
rnacentral:rRNA from 1 species